AGUUAGGAGGCAUAUUGAAAAGGUACAUUAAGGACAAGCAUUGAGGACAAACAGUUAGGAGGCAUAUUGAAAAGGUACAUUAAGGACAAACAUUGAGGACAAACAGUUAGGAGGCAUAUUGAAAAGGUACAUUAAGGACAAACAGUUAGGAGGCAUACUUAAAAGGUACAUUGAGGACAAACAUUGGAGAUAUACUGUAAAAACGCUCUUCAAGGCCACAUAUUAAAAAUGCAAAUUAAGGACCCAUUUCAGGACAUACAAACAUUUGUUA